ensembl:rRNA 5S_rRNA 5S ribosomal RNA
GUCUACAGCCAUACCACCCUGAACACGCCCGAUCUCAUCUGAUCUCGGAAGCUAAGCAGGGUUGGGCCUGGUUAGUACUUGGAUGGGAGAAAGGACAUAUGUACCCUAUGUGUAUAGCUGCAUUAUUCACA